CAGGCUCCUCUCCAGACAGUGCCUUCCCUGUUGAGCCAGUACUGAUGUCCCAGAGCGGGCCCUCCGAUACCCCACCUCCUGCUCAGUUCCACCUGGAGCAGGAAACCAGAUGCACCUCAGUUACCAGCAGCGCCUAAAUGGCGCCCUCGACAGACUUUGACAAUACAUAUUAUUUUUACUUUACGUUUGGGUCACACCCAGUACACUCAGGAAUCACUCCUGACGGUGCUCGAGGCCCAUAACUGAAAGCUGGGAUCCAACCAGCGUGGGUCACUAGCAUGGCAAGUGCUGCUCCCGAUGUCUGAUCCUUCCAGCCCCUCUGAUGGGUUGUUGGGCUGCCGAAGAGGCUCCUGGAUGGAGCGACCGUG